CGCGCCGUUCCCCCAACCCCUCCGAUACACACGCGCGCACACGCACGCACACCGCAGUCUUGGGCUUCUUGUCCCCUGUGGGUGAAAGAGUCGGCCAACAGGGGGUGACCCCAGGCAGCCCACUGGAUUAGAAAGAAGCAAAAGGCCUCUUGUGAGACAGCAGCCGGGGAACCGCUCAUCCCAGGUCAGGGAAAUGUGCCGACCUGCUGCCAGCAGGCAGGAUUGCCCCAACCAUCAUGGUCGGACCUGCCGCGGGACCUGUGAACCGACGUCUCAAGAAGCACCGAGAGGAGUUAUUUAAAAGUGCUCCUCUCCAGCCGGUGCUCGUGUUACCUCACUGGGAAUAAUACUUAUGCUCGUGGCCCCUGACUGACAGGAGCUGCUGGUCCACUGGUCUACGGUUCAAUGAGUAAUCGCGGUGAGGGGGGGAGUUUUGGGUCCCUCUUGGUUGUUUCCUUUGCAGAUGUAAAUCAUUAAAAUACGUUUCAUAGCAUCCAAAACACUUCACUAACUAGCUCAUUAAGUGGGAUCCACGGUGUCUUUUAUACAUGUAGACGGAUCUCCUGGGAGCUACGAACGCGCUGGCCUCUGCUGACGGAGCAGUGUUCCUGGCUCCAACUCUUUGGACACGUAUUCUACAACACCAGAGGUCAUUUGAUAGCACAGCUCCCACAACUAAAAAUAGAUCGGGAGAUUUCUGGGGUUUUUGUUUUGACUUCAACCCUUGGAACUGGUUUCAUUAACCUCUUUUUGGAACUCAGUAAACACAUGUGGAAAGAAAUCUAACCAUCACCUUUUGUCUCUGCUGGUUACACGUGGCAUCUGUAAAAUGACCAAG
ensembl:lncRNA